rnacentral:rRNA from 1 species
CCUACGGGAGGCAGCAGUGGGGAAUAUUGCACAAUGGGGGAAACCCUGAUGCAGCGACGCCGCGUGAGUGAAGAAGUAAUUCGUUACGUAAAGCUCUAUCAGCAGGGAAGAAAAUGACGGUACCUGAGUAAGAAGCCCCGGCUAACUACGUGCCAGCAGCCGCGGUAAUACGUAGGGGGCAAGCGUUAUACGGCUUUACUGGGUGUAAAGGGAGCGUAGACGGUGCGCCAAGGCUGGAGUGAAAUGCCGGAGCUUAACUGCGGAAGUGCUUUGGAAACUGGCGAACUCGAGUGCGGGAGGGGUAAGCGGAAUUCCUGGUGUAGCGGUGAAAGGCGUAGAUAUUAGGAGGAACACCGGUGGCGAAGGCGGCUUACUGGACCGUAACUGACGUUGAGGCUCGAAAGCGUGGGGAUCAAACAGGAUUAGAUACCCUAGUAGUC